rnacentral:other from 1 species
AAUCAGGUUUCCUCAACUGACACAAACCGUGCAAUCUGCAGCUCCGCCUGGUCUUUCCAGGUCUAGAGGAGUAACAUUUUGUACUGUGCUUGACUCCACGCUCGGUCUACUGGCGGGUGUUAGUAGCGGCACUGUUGCUUCGUAGCGGAGCAUGUUGGCCGUGGGAACUCCUCCUUGGCAACAAGGACCCACGGGGCCAAAAGCCACGUCCUCAUGGACCCAACAUGUGUGCAACCCCAGCACGGCAACUUUUCCGCGAAAACCACUUUAAGGUAACACUGAUACUGGUACUCAAACGCUGGUGACAGGCUAAGGAUGCCCUUCAGGUACCCCGAGGUAACACGUGACACUUGGGAUCUGAGAAGGGGACUAGGGCUUCUAUAAAAGCGCCUGGUUUAAAAAGCUUCUAUGCCUGAAUAGGUGACCGGAGGCCGGCACCUUUCCCUUUUCGCACUACUAAACA